rnacentral:rRNA from 1 species
UACGUAGGGUGCGAGCGUUGUCCGGAAUUAUUGGGCGUAAAGAGCUCGUAGGCGGUGUGUCACGUCGGCCGUGAAAACCUGGGGCUCAACUCUGGGCGUGCGGUCGAUACGGGCAUCACUUGAGUUCGGCAGGGGAGACUGGAAUUCCUGGUGUAGCGGUGGAAUGCGCAGAUAUCAGGAGGAACACCGGUGGCGAAGGCGGGUCUCUGGGCCGAAACUGACGCUGAGGAGCGAAAGCGUGGGGAGCGAACAGG